rnacentral:rRNA from 1 species
AUUGAACGCUGGCGGCAGGCCUAACACAUGCAAGUCGAACGAGUAGAGGACGGGUGAGUAAUGUCUGGGAAACUGCCUGAUGGAGGGGGAUAACUACUGGAAACGGUAGCUAAUACCGCAUACCAUCGGAUGUGCCCAGAUGGGAUUAGCUAGUAGGGGGGGUAAAGGCUCACCUAGGCGACGAUCCCUAGCUGGGCUGAGAGGAUGACCGGCCACACUGGAACUGAGACACGGUCCAGACUCCUACGGGAGGCAGCAGUGGGGAAUCUUGCACAAUGGGCGAAAGCCUGAUCCAGCCAGGCCGCGUGUGUGAAGAAGGUCUUCGGGUUGUAAAGUUCUUUCAGCGGGGAGGCGUUACCCGCAGAAGAAGCCCCGGCUAACUCCGUGCCAGCAGCCGCGGUAAUAC